UUCACGUACGGUCGAGUAUUUUGAAUGUGCUGUACGUUUUCCCCUGUAAGCGCGCGAAAAUUUUGAUUAAAACCGAUUUGCGGUUUCAUUAAUAUCCGCAUCUAAAGUUAAUAGAUUCGAUCUAAUGUUUUGAGAGAACCGCACAGAGGAUGUUUAUAAACAAUCGGCCGUAUUAUUGUUUUGUAAAAGUUUAAAUACCCCAAAACAGUUUGAUCUAACUGGUGUUAGUUAAUAUCGGUAGGAAAUUGUAAUGAGUGUGUUGUAAUGGAGGUAUCGAAUAUCGCAUGAUUGACGCGGAAAUCAAUUCCACCGCAUUGCUAGUCGUCACGAAUUGUAGUCCACCCA